AUGCUCGCCACCAUGGCGGUGGCGGACACGCCGGCCGACUGCCCGUACCCGUGCCUCCCGCCACCAACCUCAGGAGGCGUCAUCAACAGCUACCCGCCACCGCCACCAGCAGGAACGGGAACCGGAACAGGUGGCGGCGACGGCUUCGGCGGCAGCUACCCGCCACCUCCGCCAGGGAGCUUCCAGCUGACCCCGCCUGGGGUCAUGCCGGGGUUCCUCGCGCCACCGUUCAGCGCCGUCCCGGCCGGGCCGGCUCCUCCGCCGCCGAACCCGGUCCUGCCGUGGUUCCCGUGGUACUACCAGCACGACAACCCGAUCACGGGGUCGACCGCGUCGGCGUCCUCGCCACCGGCGGUGCACCGUGGGACGACGUGCAUGGUGGCCCUGCUGCUCCAACUGUGUUUAGCGAUUCUUCUUCGGGCGCCGUAG
rnacentral:rRNA from 1 species